rnacentral:miRNA from 1 species
UUUCUAUGGGUUUGUAGCUUUGACGGUGUGUUAAGUGUUGUCCUUACUGUCUCAAGCAUGAGAAACAGAAGUA